UACGUAGGGGGCAAGCGUUGUCCGGAAUUAUUGGGCGUAAAGAGCGUGUAGGCGGCCAGAUAAGUCCGCUGUGAAAUCUCGAGGCUCAACUUCGAGCUGUCGGUGGAAACUAUCUGGCUAGAGUCCGGAAGAGGCGAGUGGAAUUCCUGGUGUAGCGGUGGAAUGCGCAGAUAUCAGGAGGAACACCAACGGCGAAGGCAGCUCGCUGGGACGGUACUGACGCUGAGGCGCGAAAGCGUGGGGAGCGAACAGG
rnacentral:rRNA from 1 species